rnacentral:rRNA from 1 species
GCCAGCAGCCAUAUCACCUGUCAACCCACUGAAACUAAGCAGGUGUGAGCCUGGUCAGUACCUGGAUGGGAGACGUCCUGGGAAAAAUUAAGGUUGCUGCUGGAA